GGGAAAGAAAGCAAUUCCUGCCCAAGUCCCUUUCUGUUAUAUUGUAUUCAUUUCUUCUUCUUCUACUUCCAAACUCAAAAUUAGUGAAAUUGGAAAUUGAAACAAAGCUAUUAAGUCAUAAUAACCCAACUAAUAUACAUUUAUCAAUUAUACAAGGCCAAAAUUUCCUUACCCAAAAUUAUAAAAAUAAAAAAAGAAGGGGAGAAACCCCAAAAAGAAAAAUCUAAAGAUGAAACUUGCUAAAUACCAAUAAUCCACAUAAUUUUUUUUUUUUUUAAAUUAAGGC
rnacentral:misc_RNA from 1 species